CCGGUGUCAGGGAGCUCCACCUCCCCGGAGGUGCCACCUCCCUCAGGGACAGUAUAAAGGACGAGCUGUCCCCUGUGCUGUGGCCAGUCCCAGCCCGGAGAGACUCGGAGCAAGGACCCUGCAGGAUGCUGUGCUGAUUCCUGAAGGCAGCGAGGCCCCGAAUCUGCCCCAAAGAGGGGCUCGGCCACGAGGUAACGUGAUGGUGGCACAUCCCAGCUGUCCCCACUCUCCUGGGGGUGCUCUGGGGCUCCUGGGGGACACUCGAUGGCCAGAUCCCAAAUCCCAGCUCUGCCUGAGCUCCUUCCCCUGGGAGCCACAAGGAUGGGGCCAAACCCAGCCAAACCUCCGUGGGGAUUUGGGAACAGGAGAUCCUCCAACACCCCCAUCCUGAGCCCCUGGAGCCCCACGAGCCACCCCCAGUGCCCAGGACGAGGCCACCACAGUGCACGAGGACUUUUAUUGGGUCUCAAGGCACAGGAACCAGCAGGAGAGGGGGAGACCAAAAGAAAAGGCACCUUUGGGCUUGGCACCAGCACACUCGUGUCACCCAUGGGCUGUCAAAAGCAUCCACACAGGAAAAACACCACCAGGAACCCCCUGCCCCACCCAGCCACGAAUAUUCCUGUUCCCAAAUCCCUUUUCCAGCCACACCGAGGGCAACCUCAGCAACGUGAAAUCAAUAUGCAGAGAGGAAUCCGGUGCCUAGUGCUUUGAAAAGCUCCACAGGAAGCAGGGAGCAAUGCUGGAGGGGGGCAGAGCACGGCUUUGCCCCCCCCGGGGAAACUGAGGCACGCAGGGGAGCAUUUUAUGGAUCAGUGCUGGGGGAGUCCCAGCUCCUGCCGUGUGAUUUUGGAGCACGGACCAAGCCGGGGGUGACAGACCUGGGCUCUGGGGCUUCUGCUGGGUAAAAUGAGGGCGAUUUCCCCCCCUCACGGGGGGCUGAAGGUGGCCACAGCCCCUGACUCAGCUCGCCCUGGGACCGAGGGAGCGGCGAGUUCCCAGAUUUGCCCCGUGACGCUGAAUCAGCCCCGCGGGGCAGCCCUGGGGGAUUUAAUGACCGCUAUCAUUAGCACCAGCCUCGAUUCCCCAUCCAAACCCAUCCCUGCACAGCGGGAGCCCAAACCCACUUGCGUUGCAGGGCCGAGGAGGACGCAAAACCCCUCGGCUGGGAAAACUUUUCUUUAAAAGAACCCCAAAUGUCAGCUCUAAAUUGGGUGUUACGCGCUCGUGCUCCGUCUCUUCAUUACUGUAUCGUAAAAUUACAUUAGGCAGGAACGAUCUGCAUUCAAAUGACUCUGUGUCUGGAAUGAUAACGCAGGAAUAUGAGAUUAAAAUGUAAUUAUGCUCUUUAAAGUCAAGGAAGGUUAAUAAAAUGUUUUUCCAAGUUGCA
rnacentral:lncRNA from 1 species